GAGAUAACAAAACAGCGUAACCCACGAGGGUGGGGAAGAAGGAAAAAAAACACCACACCAACCAAACCAUCAGAACAGGCACCGCCGAUCGGAAGAAGAAAAGUGGCAGAAGGGUGAGAACUGCAACGGUGGGCCAUGGCGAUGCGCGACCUCGUUUCGGGUGCUGCCGCUUGCGGUGACUCUUCUUCUUCCUCCGCUAAUCCUCUUGCCUCUCUAGCCAACGCUCUUGUUGGCUCUUCCUCCAAAACUCAGGAGAGGCUGAAGGAGAUUCCGACGUCCACUCCUACUGACCCUACCUCUCAAUUUUACUCCACUGCUCUUCCCGUCAAUCAUCUUCCCGGCUCCGAAUUCGAUAAGCCUCUAUUGGAUGCAAACUCUCAGGCUUCGGAGUUUUUGCAUAGGUUCCGUGGCGCGAAUGGGAUGGAAGAGACGUGGGAUGAGAUACAGCGUGAGGCCGGGGUUGCCGGACCGCGGCAACUGGUGCCGGCGAUUCAACAGCAGCUAUUGGAUGGGACACCACAAAGAGUUCUAUCGAGUUUUUUGCACUCAUUUCUUGAUAGCAGCCGUGGUGGAGUGCCUUUUCAUCCUACCCCUCUUCCGAUGCUGGGUUUAUCUGAAGGUGAUAAACAAUGCAUACGAGACCGUAGCAGCAUAAUGGCCAGACAUCUUUUUGCAGAUAAAAGUGAAGAAUUUAUUGAUGCACAAGUAAAUGCACUUCUAUGCUCUCUAGAUAUUGAUAGCAAUGUCCGUGGUAAGGGACCUAUGCCUGAAAGAUUUCGGGAGCUUGAGGAUUACUGGAAUGAAUCUCAAGGCAAUAUGAGACCUGGUCCUCCUGCUGCAGACGGGUGGAUUACUGAAUUUAGUCAACAUAGGGGAAAAUAUGAUAAUCCUGAUUCAUGGGCUAACUCCUUUGAGCAACAACAUGGUGCAAAUGGUUGGGCGUCUGAAUUUGAACACUCCCAAUUGUCAUCAGUAGGUCAAAUGCAAGGUAUGAACAUGUCAAACUUUGCUGCAAUGGAACAGACUCGUAUGCUUGCAAAUACAUUGGCCCAAAAUGGUGAUCCUAAAUUUCAGAACUCAAAAUUCCUUCAAUUUGUGUCGAAGAUGAGCCGUGGUGAGUUAAUUAUUGAUGACAAUCAGGUCAAAGAGAAUUCAUUACCUGCAUCUGGAGAUUGGGCAACAGAAUAUGAUCAACAAUAUAAUCGUGGUCAUGCAUGGGCUGGAGAAUAUUUAAAUGAUAAGGUUUAUCAUGGACCUGAUCAAUGGGUGAAUGAAUAUGCAACUGAAGGACGACAGCAUGAUACAACUGAUGAUCAGUGGGUUAAUGAAUUUUCAAAGUUGAAUGUUAAUGAUUGGGCAGAUGAAUUUGGUCAGCAGUUAGGUGAAGCAGCCUUAGGAGACAGAACUUCUGAUAGUUGGGCACAAGCAUAUGAUGAGUUCCUAAAUGAGCAAGUUGCUUCCAAGCAGCAGUUAGACAGUUCGAGGGGUGUGUAUGUCUUUUCAGAUUUAAACCCUUAUGUUGGCCAUCCAAAUCCCCUAAAAGAAGGCCAAGAUCUAUUCAGAAAAGGACUUUUAAGUGAAGCAGUUCUAGCAUUGGAAGCGGAAGUCAUAAAAAAUCCUGAAAAUGCUGAAGGAUGGAGACUGCUUGGAAUAGCACAUGCAGAGAAUGAUGAUGAUCAACAGGCUAUUGCAGCAAUGAUGCGUGCACAGGAGGCUGACCCGACAAACUUGGAGGUGCUUCUUGCUCUUGGUGUUAGUCAUACAAAUGAACUAGAGCAAACAUCUGCACUGAAGUAUCUAUAUGGAUGGUUGCGGCAUCACCCAAAAUAUGGAACACUUGCCCCGCCUGAGAUGUCUGAUUCUUUGUACUAUGCUGAUGUUGCUAGGUUAUUCAAUGAAGCUGCUGAACUGUCUCCGGAUGAUGCAGAUGUCCACAUAGUUCUUGGGGUCAUGUAUAACUUAUCCAGAGAAUAUGACAAAGCUAUUGCAUCUUUUGAAAGAGCACUGAAACUUAAGCCACAGGAUUACUCAUUAUGGAACAAACUGGGUGCUACACAAGCAAAUAGUAUUCAAAGUGCUGAUGCAAUAAUGGCUUACCAACAGGCACUGGAUUUAAAGCCUAACUAUGUUCGUGCUUGGGCAAAUAUGGGUAUCAGUUAUGCAAACCAGGGUAUGUAUGACGAGUCCAUUCGAUAUUAUGUUCGAGCACUUGCCAUGAAUCCAAAAGCAGAGAAUGCAUGGCAAUAUUUGAGAAUUUCAUUAAGCUGUGCUUCUAGGAAUGACAUGUUGGAAGCUUGUGAUAGUCGUAAUUUGGACCUUCUCCAGAAGGAGUUUCCUCUACAGUAAGGGAGGGACUCUUCUACUGUCGAGGUGGUUGCUUGAACAUGAAUCCCAAUUUUCCUUAAUACUUUUGGAUGAGUAAAUGGUACAUUUUCUGACAUUAAAGCUCGCAGUAGAUGUCUGCUUCCGUAGAUAUUUCUAGAAGAAUUGAAAGGCGAUCAAGUGACUAAGCCUGCAGCACUCAAGGUUUAGCAUUGUUUGGAUAAUCUUGUAUAUCAGUACUUGUACAACAAAAAAAGUUGUGUUCCUCUGGUGAUGUCAGCAUGUGGAUUACUCAAAUGUCUUUUCGCUUAGUGAAAGACCAAAGCUGCACAUACUCGAUGUCUUUUGUCAUUGUUAAAGGCUAAAUCUUCAUACCAAAUCUAUCAUGUAAGGUAUGUUGAUGUUCUUUAUGUUGGUUGUCACGAGUGUAAGACAACUCUUAUUCUUUAUUAAGGUUUGGAGGACCAACUACGAUAACAAUGGCGGAGUUAAUGAAGAAGAAAAUAAUGAGGAAUAUCUAUUAGGGGUCAUGGAUCAUGGAUGGGGUCUUAAUUCUGUGCACUGUUCCUAAAAGUAAUCGAUAUAUAUUUUUAAGGAACCAAUAUUUGGUGGUUCACAAGACAGAACAAUUCUUUGUUUUUUUCAGAACAAAUUGAUUUCUCUCUCUCUCUAAAUAUAUAUAUGUGCAUGUGUGUAGAAUACAUAUCUUUAUCUAUAAAUGAAGCUUAGCAUA